CUACGGGCCGCUCCAGUAAGGAAUAUUGCGCAAUGGAGGCAACUCUGACGCAGCCAUGCCGCGUGCAGGAAGAAGGCCUUAUGGGUCGUAAACUGCUUUUAUUUAGGAAUAAACCCCCGAACGUGUUCGGGGCUGAAGGUACUAAACGAAUAAGCACCGGCUAACUCCGUGCCAGCAGCCGCGGUAAUACGGAGGGUGCAAGCGUUAUCGGAGUUUAUUGGGUUUAAAGGGUGCGCAGGCGGGCUAUUAAGUCAGUGGUGAAAUCCCGGGGCUCAACUCCGGAACUGCCAUUGAUACUGAUAGUCUUGAGUUUGGUUGAAGUGGGCGGAAUGUAGCAUGUAGCGGUGACAUGCAUAGAUAUGCUACAGAACACCAAUCGCGAAGGCAGCUCACUAAGCCAAAACUGACGCUCAUGCACGAAAGCGUGGGGAUCAAACAGGAUUAGAUACCCCUGUAGUC
rnacentral:rRNA from 1 species